GGACGAGGAGGAGGAAGAUGAGGAGAAACAGGAAGGAGAGGAGGGGAGAGGAGGAGGAGGAGGAAGUGGAUGAAGAGGAAGAUGAGGACGAGGAGGAGGAUCUGCUUUACAUCAGUAAACUCCCGACUGCACGCUUUUGAUUGACACUCGAGCCGACCAAUCCCUGCUGAGCUGAGACACUGACCUAUUGCUAUUGCACCUGUUACGAUAACGUGGAUGGAUGUACCCACAGAGACUGAUCCCAGGUCAGAUUAGACAUUUUACCAGCUAAUGGGUAGGGUUAGAAUCUGGUGAGGGCAAGCUGAUCCCAGGUCAGAUUAGACAUGUUACCACCUAAUGGGUAGGGUUAGGAUCUGGUGAGGGCAAGCUGAUCCCAGGUCAGAUUAGACAUUUUACCACCUAAUGGGAAGGGUUAGGAUCUGGUGAGGGCAAGCUGAUCCCAGGUCAGAUUAGACAUUUUACCACCUAAUGGGAAGGGUUAGGAUCUGGUGAGGGAAAGCUGAUCCCAGGUCAGAUUAUUGGUAUUAUACACCCGGACUCUUCGACUGUCGUCCCAGAGCUCUCCUGGUUGUCAUCCUGUCCCUCUGACCAGGGACUGAUUCAGACCUGGGACACCAGGUAUCUAGACUGUCUUGGCCAAUCACUGACAUUAAUCAAUUAAUCAAUUAACUGCUAUCUAGGGAGACGAGAGAGUUAAAGACCCGGAGACAUGGAGCUGGACAGUCUCCACAUUACAGCCUGAUACUGAGAGUCCCAAUAGUAUCCCCUUUCUCCUGAAGUGUACACUCGUUCACUACUUCCCAAAAAUCUAAAACCAUUGGUUUGGUUAGAGGCUUUUUGUUGUUUUGUUAUACCAGUCAUUUCCUUUGAACUCAGUGAAAGGAAGUGUUGAAAGUGCCACCUUUCUGGAGGAAGGACGGACAGACGGACAGACAGACAGACAGACAGACAGACAGACAGACAGACAGACAGACAGACAGAAUAGGGACCUCUAGAGUUUCUGGUGAAUAAGAUAUAGAGACAGACAGACAGACAGACACAAUAGGGACCUCUAGAGUUUCUGGUGAAUAAGAUAUAGAGACAGACAGACAGACAGACACAAUAGGGACCUCUAGAGUUUCUGGUGAAUAAGAUAUAGAGACAGACAGACAGACAGACAGAAUAGGGACCUCUAGAGUUUCUGGUGAAUAAGAUAUAGAGACAGACAGACAGACAGACACAAUAGGGACCUCUAGAGUUUCUGGUGAAUAAGAUAUAGAGUAAUAUAUUUAAUUCCCUUUUCACUCAAAAGUGACUGUAUAAUUACGUCUCCGUCUUUCCGUUUUUAGAGGUGAUUUCCAUUAUUUUCCCACAUCCUGAAUAUGCUAAUGAGUAACCAGGAAGUAGCAAUGGUGGCCACGCCCCUCCUCUCUUUCUCUCUCUAAAAUCCCCAAAGAUAGUGGUGCCCCCCGCCCCCCAGCGGUGUGGCUAACUAACGACAAGAAGCACAAAGUGAUCCAAGUCACCUUCAUAGACGCCAUUUUGACUUCUUCUUCUUCUCCUUCUUCUUCUUCUUCUUCUUCUUCUUCUUCUUCUUCUUCUUCUUCUCUUUCUCCUUCUUCUUCUCCUCCUCCUCCUCCUCCCUCAUCCUCCUCCUCCUCCCCCCCCCCCCUCCUCCUCCCUCCUCCUCCUCCUCCUCCUCCUCCUCCUCCUCUGCGCUGUGACAAUGCAUGAAUUAGGCCUUUUUACUGAUACACUGACCAGUAUGCAGGGAAACUGUCCCUAGUGACUGAUCUAAGGUCAGUUAUAUAUCCCCCCCCCCCCCUCCUCUAAUGGUAAAGGAUAGGACCCGGGGGAGGCUAAACUGAUCCUAGAUCUGUGGUUAAGGAGCAGGUUCUAGCCUUAGUGCCAUUUCUCCCGUACCGGCCGUCUGUAUGAGAUUUGUAUAUUAAUCACUUAGUAAAAAAUGACUAAAUAAGUCUAGAGAUCAAUAUCGAUUUUGAAAUAUUAAUGAUAUUUAAAACAUUUAGAUUUUAGUGACAAACAAACAACAACAACAACAACAACAACAACAACAACAACAACAACAAAAAGAGAAUUAAAAAGGUGUAGUUUUUAGUCUGUCUGAGAGGGACUUGUUGUUGUUUUGGAUACUCUCUCUGUGUGUGUGUGUGUGUGUGUGUGUGUGUGUGUGUGUGUGUGUCUGAACGUAGUGUGCAGAUGCUACAAUGUAGUUGUAGCUGCCUGGUUGGAAGGAACCAAAAUCGGAACAUAAAGAUAUAUAUCGUGUAGCUACGGAAAACUACUGAAAAAAGUGUUGUUUUGAUCUCUGUUGUAAAAUAGUUAGCGAUAGGAAAUAAUCCUUCACUUACACAUUUGUAGACCUUUUAAUAAAGUUGUUUUGUAUGCAACUCUAAAGAAACCCCUGACUAUGGUUCGCCUCGUGUGCUCGAUAUGGGUCAACCCUGUGGAAUUAGCAUUACUAGAACGGACAUUCUAGAACCACUAGACAUUCUAGAACCACUAGACAUUCUGCAACCACUAGAAGGGACAUUCUAGAACCAAUAGUCAUUCCAGAACCACUAGACAUUCUAGAACCACUAGAUGGGACAUUCUAGAACCACUAGAUGGGACAUUCUAGAACCAUUAGAAGGGACAUUCUAGAACCCUUAGAUGGGACAUUCUAGAACCACUAGAAUGGUAUGGGGUGGCUACAGUCCAGUGUACAGAUUUCACACUCUGCUUCUCAAACGGCACCGUUUCUCUGCCACGGUAGCCAGCGCGCUACAUGGGGAACAGGGUGUCAUUCGCUUGUCUUUGUCCGUUCUACUAAACUCUAACUCUGUCGUGGAACCCAUCCUUAACAUUCUCUCUCUCUCUCUCUCUCUCUCUCUUGAUUCUGAGGCAUUAGAUCCUGAAACUCACCAGCUGGCAAAAUAAGGUGCCUUUAGGUUUAUACCUGAACACUCCCCUACUGACCACACGUCACUAUAACACUCCCCUACUGACUGACCACACGUCACUAUAACACUCCCCUACUGACCACACGUCACUAACACUCCCCUACUGACCACACGUCACUAUAACACUCCCCUACUGACCACACGUCACUAUAACACUCCCCUACUGACCACACGUCACUAUAACACUCCCCUACUGACCAGACGUCACUGUAACACUCCCCUACUGACCACACGUCACUACAACACUCCCCUACUGACCACACGUCACUAUAACACUCCCCUACUGACCACACGUCACUAACACUCCCUUACUGACUGACCACACGUCACUAUAACACUCCCAUACUGACUGACCACACGUCACUAACACUCCCCUACUGACCACACGUCACUAUAACACUCCCCUACUGACCACACGUCACUAUAACACUCCCCUACUGACCACACGUCACUAUAACACUCCCCUACUGACUGACCACACGUCACUAUAACACUCCCCUACUGACCACACGUCACUAACACUCCCUUACUGACUGACCACACGUCACUAUAACACUCCCCUACUGACCACACGUCACUAUAACACUCCCCUACUGACCACACGUCACUAUAACACUCCCCUACUGACCACACGUCACUAUAACACUCCCCUACUGACCACACGUCACUAUAACACUCUCCUACUGACCACACGUCACUAUAACACUCCCCUACUGACCACACGUCACUAUAACACUCCCCUACUGACCACACGUCACUAUAACACUCCCCUACUGACCACACGUCACUAUAACACUCCCCUACUGACCACACGUCACUAUAACACUCCCCUACUGACCACACGUCACUGUAACACUCCCCUACUGACCACACGUCACUAUAACACUCCCCUACUGACCACACGUCACUACAACACUCCCCUACUGACCACACGUCACUAUAACACUCCCCUACUGACCACACGUCACUAACACUCCCUUACUGACUGACCACACGUCACUAUAACACUCCCCUACUGACUGACCACACGUCACUAACACUCCCCUACUGACCACACGUCACUAUAACACUCCCCUACUGACCACUCGUCACUAUAACACUCCCCUACUGACCACACGUCACUAUAACACUCCCCUACUGACCACACGUCACUAUAACACUCCCCUACUGACCACACGUCACUAUAACACUCCCCUACUGACCACACGUCACUAUAACACUCCCCUACUGACCACACGUCACUAUAACACUCUCCUACUGACCACACGUCACUAUAACACUCCCCUACUGACCACACGUCACUAUAACACUCCCCUACUGACCACACGUCACUAUAACACUCCCCUACUGACCACACGUCACUAUAACACUCUCCUACUGACCACACGUCACUAUAACACUCCCCUACUGACCACACGUCACUAUAACACUCCCCUACUGACCACACGUCACUA